GUAGCACGGGCGCCGUUGAGAAUUGUUUCGAAGAGCUUUAAAUAUUGAAUAUUUUCUCUGCCACUCCUGUACAGCAUGUUAACUGUCGCGAUUUUGGCGUGGGUUGCUGGGAUUCGUAGUCCGCGUUCUCAAGCCUCCGUUGGUAACUAUUUUUCCCUUCUGAAUUGACUGGUUCCUGCGUUUUCGAAUAGUGACUGGUUACAAUUCAGUUAUCGUGGGCUGUGAAGAAACCUUUCUAAGUGCAGUUAUGUCCUCGAACAAAAAUAAGACGCCGGCGAUGAGUUGGGUCUUAUAGUGGCUAACGACAGCCAGGGAUAUUCAGUGGCAGUUGUGUAACCCUGGUUGCCUUCAACUGGAAGAGUAUCUGAUCUUGUAAGUUCUUUCGAAUUCGGAUUCUGCGUGAUUUGGUUUUUAAUCUUUGUAAAAUUAGGGUGCUAAUAUAUCUAUUUGCAAUUGUUUAAUAAAGGUAUAAAUUCUGUUUAAUAAAGGUGUAAAUUCUAGAUGUUUCUGGCUAAUGAACGAUGAUUGGUACGUGUGAAAAAUGCAAAAGACCAAUUUGGUAUAAAGUAUGCAAUCAGAAUUGUCAGGUAUGACGAAAAUGGUGGUAGUUUAAGGCUAUGGUAGUUUUUUUUUUUUUAACCUAUUUUUAUUCCCUUAUGGAGAGGUAACCUAUGCAAAUAUAAAUUCUCCAGGAACUUGAUUGCACCGGAGUUGUGGUAAAUUGUCCAAAAUGCCUUCUGCCUGAAUACUACUAAUCUGAUUUGAAGAAUGGUAAUUGCCUCGAGAGAGGUAUACUUGCACGCACGUGCACUAUAUAAUGAAUAGUUUUAAUUGACUGUACGUAAUAUUAUGAAAUUUGUUUGGUCAACAUUUAAGUAUGAAGACGGCAACUAGUCUUAAAUACUAGUCAUUCACAGUUUAACUAAUUAAGGGUUUAGAAACUGAUGUAAUUAUUACUUAAGUGUGUGGUGCCUUAAUACUUAUUAAUGUACAUUGGAAUGAAAUACUGUAAGGACAAAAUUUAAUACGUAUUGGCACGAAACACACUUUGGUAGUGUGUGAUUAUCGGGUAACUGGGAAAGCAAAAUUGAUUUACUGUAACAAGGGCGAAGCCUUGUUUAUGGUUUCAACAUCUACCAUGUGAAUCAGAUCUGCGAAAAUCUUGUAUUGUACAAGCUAAAACAAACUAUUUAAUUAACGGUACGAAUGCUGAAGGGGUAGGCCUCGUAGGGGUUUUCGUGCAGUCUCUGCACGUCACGAGGUGAGCUAUAGAUUUAAGGUUUUUUUUUAAUCUUCCUUUCGGGUCUUGGCUCUUAACUUUCCAUUUAUUCUACCACUUAUAUUACCCGGCUCUUAACUUUACAUUUAUUAUACCACUUAUUUUACCUCGUCAAAGUCUUUUUUUCUAACAUAACU